GAAAGUACCGUAAGGGAAUGAUGAAAGAAAAAAAAUUAAAGUACAAAAAAGCAAAGGAAUAUCUUGA
rnacentral:tRNA from 1 species